AAAAUCUGUAUGGCCAAAGCAUCCUAACAACCCACAGUUCCUGCUGGACAGAUAAGUUUUUCCCAACAGCUGGACACUCUGCAUUUCUCCCAUGUGUGCUCCUUAUCUCCUGCAAGGCUGGGCUGUUCACAGACUUUGUAGAAUAAGCACACUCAAUUGCCUGUGCUACUUGCUGUCUGAGGGUCUUCCCACCAAGAUCUGAUGGGAUCUGAUAGGUAUUCCCAGGUUUGCUAUGAAGAAAACCAGGUAGCAGUUCAACUGCACCAAAAGAACAACUUUAAGCAGUGCAACUGGACUGCCAAAGAGGACAAAGAGAGGGGACAAAUGUGCAGCAUGGCCAAAACAUGUAAGGUUUCUCAUGCUCUCUCA